AGCGGAGGAAAAGAAAUUAACUAAGAUUGCCUUAGUAACGGCGAGUGAAGUGGCAAAAGCCCAAACUGGAAAUCUUCAUGCUUCGCAUGACGAAUUGUAAUCUAAAGAGUAGAAGCUCACCUGUUGAUGUCGCAGAAGUGCCUUAGAACGGGCCGCCAGAGAGGGUGACAGCCCCGUAUGUGGUGACAUUAGCUAACGAGCUCUGCUUGAAGAGUCGGGUAGUUUUGAAUUGCUGCCCUAAGUGGGAGAUAGACUUCUUCUAAGGCUAAAUACAUGUGGGAAACCGAUAGCGAACAAGUACUGUGAAGGAAAGAUGAAAAGAACUUUGAAAAGAGAGUCAAAAGACUUGAAAUCGUUGAGAAGGAAGCGGUAGAAAAUUAUUCUCUGCGGUAGCAAAGUGUUCCACACGAGUAUUACAGCUGUAUAGUACGUCAAAGGCUUGCAGUUGUACGUGCUUGUUGGAUUGCGGAGCUCACGUAGUGAGGCAAAAUGAGGUGUUGAAUCCACAAAAGCUUCUUGGAUCUGGAACUCUGCGGAGUUCAAUCCUGGUUUGCUGGUGGGCUUAACGCCUGAGGAUGCUCUGUGCGAUUUUGCCAAAAUGGUUUUUACCGACCCGUCUUGAAACACGGACCAAGGAGUCUAACAUAUAUGCGAGUGUGCUGGUGGAGAAACCAACACGCAUAAUGAAAGUAAGAGAUGCCAAGCGCAAGCAGCAGCAUCAACCGAUGAGGUUCCUCUGGUGCCUAUUCGAGUAAGAGCAUAUCUGUUAGGACCCGAAAGAUGGUGAACUAUGCCUGAGUAGGGUGAAGCCAGGGGAAACUCUGGUGGAGGCUCGUAGCGGUUCUGACGUGCAAAUCGAUCGUCAAACUUGGGUAUAGGGGCGAAAGACUAAUCGAACCAUCUAGUAGCUGGUUCCCUCCGAAGUUUCCCUCAGGAUAGCUGGGACAACAACGCAGUUUUAUUAGGUAAAGCGAAUGAUUAGAGGUAUCUGGGGUACCUUACCCUGGACCUAUUCUCAAACUUUAAAUUGGUAAGAACCUUUGCCUUUCUUAAUUGAGGUGAGGGGGUCAAUGCGUGUCCCUAGUGGGCCAUUUUUGGUAAGCAGAACUGGCGAUGAGGGUUGCUCCUAACGCUGAGUUAAGGUGCCUAAAUGCAUGCUCAUCAGAUACUACAAAGGGUGUUGGUUCAUUUAGACAG
rnacentral:rRNA from 1 species